ensembl:processed_transcript
ACUGAAACAUUUGCCUUUUAUCAGUUGAUUUCCUAAAACCACUUCAUCUCGCCUGUGUUGUUUUAUUUUUGAGUCUUUAGACUAUUGUCAGUGACUCUCUCCUUUGGGAUUGUUUUUUUUUUGCACAUCUGAAUGGAUUGUUUUGGAGAAGUGAGCGAGUCUGACUGUUGUGAGAGGGGGAUGAUCACACCGCGAUAAUUCGACUGACUAAGAAGUUCCUGCUUCAAUGACUUUGUCCCACGGAGGGAUGUGACUUCCAGACCCCUCAGAUUGAUUGUUUACUUGGAAGCUGAGGGAGGAGAGCAUCUAGUUGUUUCCCAAGCUGUGCCUGGGAGAUGAUGUGGAAGCCGUAUGUGGUCCAGGGGAAGUAUUUAUGGCCCUGCUUGAAUCUGGUUGGGCUUCGCUGAUAGCUGAGAUAAUGGGAGCGAAUGGGAUGCAGCGAGCUGUUCUAAUGGCACCAACAAGACAUGGGAACAGCCAGGAUAAAUAAAUUAUCUGUGGAACUGGAGUUAGCUGGACUGUAACAAUGGACUUUUCUUCUUUUACCUGAAGCGGCGUUCAAAAGCACAUGUUGUUCUUUAUGCUUGAGCUUUGAACAAUCACUAUCUGCAGAAGAGCAUUUCUUAACACACAACAAUCAAACCUUAAAGCAGAUGAGCUACAGCAGCAGCAGAAGAAGAGCACACUGUUGAUAUUCCUGACAUUAACAACAGCCAACUGAGGCUACAGUUCACACAGACUCAACAAAUUUGGACAAUCGAAAGCCAGCAAAGGUUGUGUGGUGUCUGCUGUGACGUUUGGAUAUCUGAUUUAGAGUUUGACCUGAACAACAUGGAAGCAUGAAUCC